AUUGAACGCUGGCGGCAUGCUUUACACAUGCAAGUCGAACGGUAACAGGCCUUCGGGUGCUGACGAGUGGCGAACGGGUGAGUAAUGCAUCGGAACAUACCCAGUCGUGGGGGAUAACGUAGCGAAAGUUACGCUAAUACCGCAUACGUCCUGAGGGAGAAAGCGGGGGAUCGCAAGACCUCGCGCGAUUGGAGUGGCCGAUGUCAGAUUAGCUAGUUGGUGGGGUAAAGGCCCACCAAGGCGACGAUCUGUAGCGGGUCUGAGAGGAUGAUCCGCCACACUGGGACUGAGACACGGCCCAGACUCCUGCGGGAGGCAGCAGUGGGGAAUUUUGGACAAUGGGCGCAAGCCUGAUCCAGCCAUGCCGCGUGCGGGACGAAGGCCUCGGUUGUAA
rnacentral:rRNA from 1 species